UUUUGAGUUAUUUGGGUGAAGUAUAUUUGUUUAGAAGCAAAUUUACCUUUCUCUCUGAGUUCUGCAAAAAUGUGGAUUGUGAUUUUAUGGCAAUAUAGCUAUUUGCAUAAGUUUAUUAAGAGACUUUUAAAACAUAACAAUUGGAGAGACUGAUUAUUUUACCAAGACUUUGACCAAAACAUCAUUUUUAGAUAAAGUUCCCACAAAGCCGACUUAAAAGAAGCCUAUACGGCAAAUGAAUUCUUGUUGCAUUUUGUGCAAAUUAUCAGGCUAAGUAUAAAUUUUGCACACAAUUGGCCUUAUUAUAAUUUCUCUUUAAUAGAAAAGUAGGGCUAAAGAAAGGGAAAUUGUUUCAGAAAUAAAGGGUAACACUUGAUACUAGAUUUCAGCCCUAACUUUUUUUUGAGUACAGAUUGAAUCAUGAAUUAUUUCUUAGCUAUAAUAAUCCUCUAGAAAGCACCAGAUGAUAAUUUUUGUUCAUAUCUUUAAUUGGUAACCUAAUGGAAUAGUCUCCUUUUUCUGUUUUUAACAGAAAAAUAUUCUUUUGAUUGUCAAAAUAUUAAUAUUAUUUAUUUCUCCUUGUUUUACUUCCAAGAAAACAAAAAAUCAUUAUAUUCUGAAGACCAGAGAUUUGAAUCUCCCUUAUUCAGCACCCCAGUGGACCUGAUCUGUUUUUCACUGCAAAUGCCCUGCUGCUAAAACUGUACAAGCAUCCUCUCUCUGGGCCCAGGGACUUUCACAGAAGAGGGAGAAAAUUGGACAUCACACAAAUAAUACUGGAGAAGUAACUCACCCAGAUGAUAUAGUAAAGUAUUCUUGUUCAUUUCACAGACAGAUUGAGAAAAAGAAACACUUCUCAGUUGACUGCGAUGACUGGAGGCUGGUAAUGAUGAGGGGCUGAAGUUUUCACUACCAGGAGUUAUCACAGCUAGUGGACUUGACAGCUGGAGUGUUUUUAAAUACCAAAGUUAG
rnacentral:lncRNA from 1 species